GCACUGCUGAGGAGUCCCACAAUAGGACGAAAUAACCGUCCGGUGC
rfam:Schistosoma rodhaini strain Burundi genome assembly, scaffold: SROB_scaffold0004987